rnacentral:rRNA from 1 species
AGUGAACGCUGGCGGCGUGCCUAAUACAUGCAAGUCGAACGGAGUGGCGCACGGGUGAGUAAUGUAUAGCUAAUCAGCCCUACACUAGAGGACAACAGUUGGAAACGACUGCUAAUACUCUAUAGUGUAGGAUGAGGCUAUAUUGUAUCAGCUAGUUGGUGAGGUAAUGGCGCACCAAGGCUAUGAACCAUCACUGGUCUGAGAGGAUGAGCAGUCACACGGGAAUUGAGACACGGUCCAGACUCCUACGGGAGGCAGCAGUAGGCAAUAUUGCUCAAUGGGGGAGACCCUGAAGCACCAUCGCCGCGUGGAGGAUGACACUUUUCGGAGCGUAAACUCCUUUUGUUAUGGAAGCGGUACCUAACGAAUAAGCACCGGCUAACUCCGUGCCAGCAGCCGCGGUAAUUC